UACGUAGGGUGCGAGCGUUACUCGGAAUUACUGGGCGUAAAGCGUGCGCAGGCGGUUUUGUAAGCCAGAUGUGAAAUCCCCGGGCUUAACCUGGGAAUGGCAUUUGGGACUGCAAGGCUGGAGUGCGGCAGAGGAGACUGGAAUUCCUGGUGUAGCAGUGAAAUGCGUAGAUAUCUGGAGGAACACCGGUGGCGAAGGCGACAUCCUGGACCGGUAUUGACGCUGAGGCGCGAAAGCCAGGGGAGCAAACGGG
rnacentral:rRNA from 1 species